UCCCAAUUAACUUUCAACUGUAACAGUGUUGUGACGCCCUCGAUUUAAUCGUACGCUAACCAUACACGCAAAUGCUUACGAUCAAACCAAAGGACUCACGGAAAGAUAUCACAACACAACUCUCGACACAAAUAAAAUAACAUCAGCUUCAUAUUACAAGCCAGGGGCCUCGAGGGCUAGAAUACGAAAGCUCGAUAAACACACGAGUCAGCGGAAGCAACAAUAUCUGAGUACAGACAUAAAACAUGGGGUGCCUUAGAGAAGGCUAGCACAAAAGAUACAACGAUCGAACGAGGCGAGGCCUCCUGCCUAGGAACCUCCUAACUACUCCUGAUCAUCAGCGGCCUCCACGUAGUAGUAGGCACCCUCGGGGUAGCAGUCAUCGGCGGCGGGGACCUCCAUCUCGUGGGCUCCAUCAUCUGGUCGCAGCAACGGAUCAAGGGGACAAGGGGGAGCAAAGCAGAAGUGAGUACUCAUCCAAAGUACUCGCAAGUCUUACGUCAGAACUAUUCUAAUUAUGCAUCAGUAUCAAAGAAGGGGGGGUUAUAUGUGGACAGACUACAGCAUUGCGAGAAUAAAGAGACAAGGCCUAGUCCUAUCGAAGACUAGCAUCUUCAGGGCCUUGCAGCAAUAGACGAGAAUAGAACAGGGGUAAAACAUUAAUAGUCAUAUUGUUGCAGCAAUAUUAAAGUGAGGUCACGCCUAAAGAUCCUCCCUCGACUCCCUACGAGGAAGCAAUCCCGAGGCAAACUAACCCAGUUAAGUAACAACUGUAGUUGUAAAAGAUCGGGGCACAACUCCAAGUCGUCCUGUAACCGUGGACAUGGCUAUCUGAAUAGUUAAUUUUCAUCCCUGCAGGGGUGCACCACAUGUCCCGUCACGCUCGAUAACACUCUGGCCGGACAUACUUUUCUGGGUCCUGCCCGGCCUCGGAAUAUCAACACGUCGCAGCCCCACCUAAGACUAAUCAGAGAGGUCAGCCCGCCGGUCUAACUCCUAAGCACAAAGGGUUCGUGGGCCCAGUUCCCCUUCACGCUCCUGCACGUGGCGUGGCCGGCCGACGUCAGUCCUAGCAUCCCUUAAUCACAAGCGCGAUGCAUCUCUGGACCACUCGGGCGCGCGCCGCUACAUUGCUGGCAUCUGAAAAGCUUCGGAUGAUACCGCGACGCCGAGUAUCCAGAAUUCUUCCCGUGUAGCCGGUUAGUGCGAAAAGGUCUCCGACCAACCCAGAUCAAAUACCCAAAUCCAUUAGCAUUUUAAUUAGUCCAACAACACAGUCUCACGGGAAUCCACCCGUCUUACAACUAAUCACCAAUGAUCCCAGUAACAUGGUCGAGUAACUGUGUGGUUGUAACAUCGGGGGGAAUCCGAGGUAUCACCCUCGUUGGAUUCUGAACGAUGUACCCUCAAGGUGGGCUUAGAGGAAUCACCCUCGGGGGUCCCACACUUGAGGGGUUGCACGACAGAGGCGUCAUCGGGAAUGGUGAAAGAGGAAUCACCCUCGAUAACCACGACCGACUAGCUAUACUACAGAGAUAUCAUCAGGAGUACUUAGUGAGGUGUCAUCCUCGGUACCCGAUAGUAUCUCUGUAGCGUCGUACAACGAAGGGGGUGAAUGUGGUGUGUCGGGUCUGGCUCGUCGAUCAAAGAUCGAGAUUUGAAAACAAGCGGGGCAACUGGACUACGGGGUCAGAGGGGAUGACUGCUCCACCUAUACUAAGCAGAUUAAAGGUACAGGACUGAAAGUAGCAGUUCAUCAAAAAUAGGCUAUGCAUCAGAUAUAGGAGCUAACUACAACAGUAGCAAAAUACUAAUGCAAGCAGUAGGAAGAAAUACAUAGGCGAUAUAGGAAUGAUCAAGGGGGUUUGCUUGCCUUGUUGCUCUGCGACAAAACGGAUCCUCGACCGGGAAGUAGUCGAUCACCGGAUCAUCAUCGGUCUCGGGGCCUACCGGAAAGGAAGAUAACGAAGGGGAAACACAAUAAAUAAGAGAACAAGCAAACACACCACAAAGCAUGCCAAGGUAAAACACCGAGCUAGGGUUGACCUAAAGCAGUACUAAAUGUUACAGGCGAAGCGGGAAAAUAUCUCACGAUAUCUCCCGGGUCUCUGGCUACUACCGGGCAGGCGAAAUGGAUGGAAAAGUUCCAUGUUCGUUAUGAUAGGAGCAUGCGACAGACGAACGGACUGCGUAUUCGGAUUUGUGGGAUUUUUCUGAACAACUUUCAUGUAUAAAAUAUUUUUAUCCGGAUUGACGAUUAUUUUAAAUUAAAAUUCAAACUUUUACCAAUAUUCUAGAAUUUCUAAAAAUAUUAUAUUCAAAUAAUCCGAAUUGACCAAGUCAAAAUGAUUGGUCAAAAGGAGAGGUGGUGGCCCACGUGUCAUAGGCUAUAGCUAACAGAUAAAUAAGUAGCUUAAUUAAAUGGGGUUCACAUGUCAUAUGGCUAGUAGUUAACCUAACUAGUGAUUAAUCCUAAACUAAAUAUAUAGUCCUAAUUAAACAAGGACCGGCCACACACGGCUGGGGCAUAGCCGGCCACACACACCACGCUCAUUCAUGUUGUACACAUCACACACAUGUUCACGAUGUACACACACGAUGCACUUACACCAUGGUCAUGGCCAGGAGUAUUGACAGUAGUAAGCAGGCAAAACAAACUACAGCAGCAACCACAGCAACGCGGCAGCUGCACGCAGCAAGAGCAAUAGCUAGCAGCUGCAGCAUCCAAGAGCAGCAGCAGCGUUGGCGUAGUAGCAGCAGCAGAAGUGCACGGGGGCGACCAUGACCAUGGCAGCGGCAAGCGACGAGGCAAGCAACAACGCAAAGCAGCAGUAGCAGGGCAACAGGAGGAGCACAACAACAGACGGUCGCGACGGUGCGCGCGCAGGCUGGGCGAGCAGCAGCAAAUGGUAGCAACGGGGGCAUCAGGCGCGGCGCGGCGAGCAGCGGGCACGCACCUGGGCGUGGCCAGGGGGUGCCCCGGGGAGACUAGUACGCGGCAGGGUGCAGACAAAGGCGAGGCAGAGCGCGCCGGACACACACGCGGGAAUGGGCACGGUCGCGGUGACCGCGACCACAGGCCGAAACUCACGCGACACAGUACGGCGACACGAGGCGAUGAGCAUAGGGGAGACAAGGGAAAUGGAGGUUCCGCUCACAGGGGAAGGCGGAGGACGCAUCGGACGGGGCGGAGGAGCUCCGGUGAGGUAGAUCGGAUGAGGCAACGACGACCGUAGGUGAGGAAGACGACGUCGAUCCCGGCGAUGCACAGGCAUAGAGCUCGAGGUGGUGGUCGUAGACGACGUAGAGGAGGCUGACGGAGCUGCAGGACAUGGACUCCGGGCACGGGAUCGACGGAGGGCGCAAGCUUCACGGCGAGAAGGCCAUGGGGUCGCGGACGACGACGGGUGUGAGCGGGGCAGAGGGAGGAGAGGCGGCUAGGGUUCGGAAGGAGGCUGCGAGGUCGUCUUUUAAGCCCCACGACAGCCGGGGGAUGACCGGCACGUGGUCAGACGCCAUGGAUGGCUGCCACAGCAUCCCCCCUUCUCUGUAGCAGACGUUGGGGAUGACCCCGGUCGGGCUG
rnacentral:lncRNA from 1 species